GGGAGCAUAGUGUAGUGGCUAUCACGCUUCAUUUGCAUUCAUGCGCGAGCAUUUUCAUCGCAUCUUGAAGAGGUCCCGGGUUCAAUCCCCGGUGCUUCCA